rnacentral:rRNA from 1 species
UACGUAAGGGGCAAGCGUUGUCCGGAUUUAUUGGGCGUAAAGAGCGUGUAGGCGGCCAGAUAGGUCCGUUGUGAAAACUGGAGGCUUAACCUCCAGCGGUCGAUGGAAACCAUUUGGCUAGAGUCCGGAAGAGGAGAGUGGAAUUCCUGGUGUAGCGGUGAAAUUCGUAGAUAUUCGCAAGAACACCAGUGGCGAAGGCGGCUCACUGGCCCGGUACUGACGCUGAGGUGCGAAAGCGUGGGAGCAACAGG